UACGUAGGGAGCAAGCGUUGUCCGGAAUCACUGGGCGUAAAGGGCGCGUAGGCGGCGCGACAAGUCAAUGGUGAAAGCCCGAGGCUCAACUUCGGGUCGGCCACUGAUACUGUUGGGCUUGAGCACUGUAGAGGCAGGUGGAAUUCCGGGUGUAGCGGUGGAAUGCGUAGAGAUCCGGAAGAACACCGGUGGCGAAGGCGGCCUGCUGGGCAGUAGCUGACGCUGAGGCGCGACAGCGUGGGGAGCAAACAGG
rnacentral:rRNA from 1 species